UUAUGGUAGUUACCAGACAUCUUUAGUGUUUGAUAUAAUAUUCAGUGAUUCAUUCGUUGCAUGUAACACUCAGUGCUCAUCACAACACGUGCCCUCCUUAAUACCCAUCACUGCAUUAUCCCGCCCCCCUG